rnacentral:lncRNA from 11 species
CAGAAAGGCAGCAGCAGACAUCAUGGAGGAGUUGAACACAGUGACACUACUUCUUAAUGAGCCUGCAGAAGAGAAGAUUAAGGCGCUGACAAGAAGCCAUCGGAAGUGGCUGUGCUUCGUGGGAUGGCCUCAGUGGGACUUAGUUUUGCCAGCGCCUGAAAAUGAAAAGAGCACAAUGUCUAAUGAGGUCCUAAGUAAAUUGUUUUUAAAAUAUCUUAAUGCUGCAAGCCUUUGGCCUGUGGUACAAAAUUUACUCACUGCCUGUCCAGCAAUCAUCAACUCAACAACUACAACAGAACACAAGGCACAGCAUAAGGUGCUGCAAGACUUCCAAAGGACUUCUGAAGUUGAGGAUGACCAGAGAGGCCUACUGCCAUCUAACGGCUAUAUGAUUCAAUUACACACAUCUUGGCAAAAUGCAUAGCUUGUUCAAGAGGAGAAAAUCAAGAACCUGGAACAUCGAUUAUCUAAUACAAGUUGCUUUUGGCAACAAGGGUGUAACAAGGUGGCACUGAAAAGUAACCUAACAAGAAGAAAUAAAAAAUACUUUACUGAUA